GACGAACGCUGGCGGCGUGCUUAACACAUGCAAGUCGAACGGAAAGGCCCUGCUUUUGUGGGGUGCUCGAGUGGCGAACGGGUGAGUAACACGUGAGUAACCUGCCCUUGACUUUGGGAUAACUUCAGGAAACUGGGGCUAAUACCGGAUAGGAGCUCCUGCUGCAUGGUGGGGGUUGGAAAGUUUCGGCGGUUGGGGAUGGACUCGCGGCUUAUCAGCUUGUUGGUGGGGUAGUGGCUUACCAAGGCUUUGACGGGUAGCCGGCCUGAGAGGGUGACCGGGCAGAGGGGGACGGAGAUAAGGCGGAGACGCAGACGGGAGGCAGCAGCGGGGAAUGGGGAAAAAUGGGCGGAAGAGUGAUGCAGGAAAGCCGGGGGGGGGAGGAGGGCGUGAGGGUUGUAAAACGAGGUGGACGGGGAAGCAGAGUGAGUGAAGGGAAUGGGUAAAGAAGGACAGGCGAAUGAAGUG
rnacentral:rRNA from 1 species